rnacentral:rRNA from 1 species
UAAUACGUAGGUGGCAAGCGUUAUCCGGAUUUACUGGGUGUAAAGGGCGUGUAGGCGGGAUGAUAAGUCAGGCGUGAAAACUGGGGGCUCAACCUCCAGCCUGCGUUUGAAACUAUCGUUCUUGAGUGAUGGAGAGGCAGGCGGAAUUCCGUGUGUAGCGGUGAAAUGCGUAGAUAUACGGAGGAACACCAGUGGCGAAGGCGGCCUGCUGGACAUUAACUGACGCUGAGGCGCGAAAGCGUGGGGAGCAAACAGG